CAUGUCCUUUUGAGAAUAAUUUAAGGUUUAAUCUGCUCAAUGAAAUUUAAAUUGCCGCAGUAUUUUGACUGUGCAAAGGUAGCAUAAUAAUUAGUUCUUUAAUUAGGAACUGGUAUGAAUGAUUGGACAAGAAAAUUACUGUCUCUUUUUUAAUUUUUAUUGAAUUUUAUUUUUAAGUGAAAAAGCUUAAAUUUUUAUAAAAGACGAGAAGACCCUAUAGAGUUUAAUAUUUUAAAAUAAUUUGAAUAUAGAAUUUUUUUUUAUUUAAAUUUAUUUAAUUGGGGUGAUUUAAAGAUUUAAUAAAUUCUUUAAUUAAAAAAUUAGUGAUUUCUAAAAUAAUAUUCUAUAAUUUAUAAGUAUAAAAUGAAUUACCUUAGGGAUAACAGCGUAAUUUUUCUUUAAAGUUCUUAUUAAAAGAAAAGUUUGCGACCUCGAUGUUGGAUUAAAAUUAAUUUUUGGUGCAAUAACUUAAAAAUUAGGUCUGUUCGACCUUUAAAAUUUUACAUGAUCUGAGUUUAAACCGGUGUAAACCAGGUUGGAUUCUAUCUUUAAACAGUUAAUAUAUUUUAGUACGAAAGGACCAAAUAUUUAUUAAAUUA
rnacentral:rRNA from 1 species